UCGAGUCCAGCGUUGGCUCCGUGCGCCAGCUCGGCGGGGUCCUUCAUGGUGCCGAAGGGGCCCCCUGUCUUGGUGCCGACAUCGAAGGUGCCAGCGGAGUGCCAGCUGCGAGGGGUGAGUGGGAGGUGAGAAGCACAAGCCAGAUCGGGGAAUGGGGCGGUUGGGGGAGGCGGCUUACGCGAGGCGGAGCAUGAGCGGGGCGCAGUUCUUCUCGGCGAUGAGGCCGCGGAGCUUGCGCUUGGCCUUGUCGAUCGCCUUGAGGUAGUCCUCGCUGACCGUGGGGUAGGCCUUCACCAUGGCUGACGUCACGAUGCGCAGGAAGGAGACUACGGGGGGUGA
rnacentral:lncRNA from 1 species